rnacentral:lncRNA from 1 species
AAUACCUGUUGUGCAACCGGUACUAAGGAGGGUUUGGAACCCAUACAGAAAGCGGAAUCCCCAGUAGUGAGUGAAGAAGCUAUCUCGGUGGGGGAGUGAAGGCACGUAGGCCUAUGAUCACGUAUGUUUGUUUGGGGUGGUUCCGAGUGAACGUGGAAGGUUUGUUUUUAUGAAGGCCGGGGUGUUUUGUUCCUUAAAAAUGGUUUUUAAAAGUGAAUUUUCACCCUUAAAAUAGGAGCGGAUGGAGCGAUUUUCAGGGACGGUUUAUAAGGAGCAUCGCUCCUAGAAAUUAAACCACCAAACUAGGAAUAAUCCUUUAACCAUCUGAUCCCCCUCUCUUAUCCUCUCCUCCACCCACACAUCCUCUCUUCUCUGUCACUUAUCCUCCCAUGCACUGAUCCUCAUGCAUUCCUCCUCUUUCCCCAUGUUUUCCUCCACUCCCACGUAAGAGCACACAAGGACGAGCGAUCACAGGCUGGAGGUUGGUGGGCGGGUGGGCUGCUCCGGCGUGGUGGCAGGUGCGGGCGUGCGGCGGCGCGCCUAGCUCAGGUGCCGGAGGUGUGGAAAGUACUUUUUUCUGCACUAAAAAUUCACAAUUUUUUUCUGCACUAAAAAUUCACAUAACCUUCAAAAGUAGUCUAGUUUGGUGAAUUUAGUUUUAAGGUUUAAGUGAUGCAUAUGUGUUUUCGUGCAAAAUGGGUUCAUCUGCAUCUGUUUUAUCACCACAAAAGUUUCAUGAAUUUUAUAGGUGAUUUGAAGGUCGUUUUGAUUAAAAGAAAAGAGGUUAGAUCAAAUCCACGGGUUACUGUGCGAGUUAACUGACAAACAGACAAAAGUGUCAAAUAAGAAGUUUAACUUAAUGUUUAAUAAGGAAGUUGAAAUUUUCAAUGUCAAAUUAUAAAGCUCCAUAUAUUUUAACGGUAUCAAAUAGUGAAUUUUCACUUCCACAAGAAGACUGAGAAAACCUAUAUGGGAUCAAGGCGAAGCCUUGAGAAUUGGGUUCCAAACAAACCGAGGCAGGUGGAACCGUUUUUUUUCCCACAAGGUGGAACUGGUUAAGUACUGCUAGGAGCAUAGCUAUUAGUCUAUUAGCAAGGACCGCACACAAUAGGCUUCGGCGAAAAACAUCAUUAAGGUGCUAGGACAGGAGGGAACCAAGAACCAAUUGUAAUCUCUUACCACAUUAGUGUUAUAAAGACUAUUGUGCUUGUGCCCCGAAAUAUUUUUAGCAUACAGUGGUUGCGAGGAUAUAAUAAUAGCGUAAAUUGUAAACUGAUGUUUGGUCCCCCAUGUGUAAACCAAAUUUUGAGGAGUAUAAAGAUAGAUCGGUUGAUCUUAAUUAUUUCAUUGAUGAUGCGUUUAUAUCUUGGAAUAUCAUAGUCACUUGCUGAUCAGAGUGUGCUGCAGUUGGCCGUCUGGAAGGAGAGCUGGCCCUUGCCGAUGUCGAAGAGGAGGUGCAUGUUCUGCUGCUGGAAGUUGCCGAUAAUGCUUAUAUCGAACGCUUCCAUGAUAGCCAUGCAGGCCGUCGACUUGUCUAUUGGCGCCCAGUAGUUCUCCGGAGGCAGGGCCAUGUCCGCGCCGCCGCUGAAGUGGAACACGAGCGUCGGCACAAAGCUGUCCAAGUCGCCCCGUGCCACACACAGCGCCAUCCCACCGCCAUCUCCCCCCGGAGGUGGCACGAGGCUGCCGUUCAGCUGCCGAGCAAGCUCGUCGGUUAGCGGCUUGUACGCGUCUUCGACGAGCGAGGUGAAGGGGCUGCC